GUGUCAGCCGCCGCGGUAACACGUAGGGUCCGAGCGUUGUCCGGAAUUACUGGGCGUAAAGCGCGCGCAGGCGGUCUGGUCAGUCGAUGGUGAAAGCCCCACGCUCAACGUGGGAAGGUCCGUCGAGACGGCCAGACUGGAGGCAGGGAGAGGUCGGUGGAAUUCCGGGUGUAGUGGUGAAAUGCGUAGAGAUCCGGAGGAACACCAGAGGCGAAGGCGGCCGACUGGACCUGACCUGACGCUGAGGCGCGAAGGCGUGGGGAGCGAACGGGAUUAGAAACCCCGGUAGUCC
rnacentral:rRNA from 1 species